UACGUAGGGAGCAAGCGUUGUCCGGAAUCAUUGGGCGUAAAGCGCGCGUAGGCGGCCCCGUAAGUCCGCUGUGAAAGUCAAAGGCUCAACCUUUGAAAGCCGGUGGAUACUGUGAGGCUAGAGUCCGGAAGAGGCGAGUGGAAUUCCUGGUGUAGCGGUGGAAUGCGCAGAUAUCAGGAGGAACACCAAUAGCGAAGGCAGCUCGCUGGGACGUUACUGACACUGAGGCGCGAAAGCGUGGGGAGCGAACAGG
rnacentral:rRNA from 1 species